rnacentral:rRNA from 1 species
GCUCAGGACGAACGCUGGCGGCGUGCCUAAUACAUGCAAGUCGAACGCACGAAGUUGAAGAGCUUGCUCUUUAACCAAGUGAGUGGCGGACGGGUGAGUAACACGUGGGUAACCUGCCCAUUAGAGGGGGAUAACAUUCGGAAACGGAUGCUAAUACCGCAUAGUUUCAGGAAUCGCAUGAUUCUUGAAGGAAAGGUGGCUUCGGCUACCACUAAUGGAUGGACCCGCGGCGUAUUAGCUAGUUGGUGAGGUAAUGGCUCACCAAGGCAAUGAUACGUAGCCGACCUGAGAGGGUGAUCGGCCACACUGGGACUGAGACACGGCCCAGACUCCUACGGGAGGCAGCAGUAGGGAAUCUUCCGCAAUGGACGAAAGUCUGACGGAGCAACGCCGCGUGAGUGAAGAAGGUUUUCGGAUCGUAAAACUCUGUUGUUAAAGAAGAACCAAGGAUGAGAGUAACUGCUCAUCCCUGACGUAUUACCAGC